AUGUAACACUCCAAUCAGAAGUUAAAAGCCAGAAGAAAGAUUCAAGCUUAAGGAAACAGGAGAAAGCUCAAAGACUGAAACAGCGGCUGGCCAACAUGUUAAUACCGUUGCUGCGACGGACGCGUCAUCAUUGACCACCGUAAUGAUGCGGCACGAGUUCGCAAUGCCGAAACAUUUGCAAAAGAACACAUGAUUGUCGCAGUUUCUCACAAAGAUAAAAAUAAUAUGUGAAUGUUUCGACGAUGAAAACUCGAAGUAAAGCUGAAAAUCUCACGUAUACAUGACGAAGACUUAUUAAGUGAUAAAUUAUUUGCAUUUAUUUAGUAGAUUAAGUUAGUUUGUAAUAUCGUAAGAUAAUCUGUUGCGUUGAAAAUAAAUGAUAAUUAUUAUUGAAAAAUCCUAA